UUUAUAUUACAGGGGCAUCAGAGAUGGGCUUGUGUCCCAGCAGGAAGUAUGACUUUAUGAAAGGCUACAGCCAGAGAUCACGGUGGAUCUACAGGGAGGAGGAGCACGGGAUCUUUGAAUCACCGAUUUUGAGGAUCCCCGGGUGAGCCCUUACUUGGACUGCAUUAGGCAGUACAUUACUGCUGAGAUCAGGAGGGCCCUGUAUGAUUAUUGGAUGGCCAGAGACUGCCUGACAAUCACCAAAUGGCGGUGGUUGACUUGGAAGGCUGAGUUCCGGAAGAACAGGAAUGAUGCCAAAGUCUACUUGGAGUACCUCUAUAAACAACUAGAGGAGAUCAACAGGGCCAUACUCCUGAAAAACAUCGACAGAUACCCAGACUGCCCUCAGAACUGACAUCAGCGCAAGCAGCACCCUCAGUAAGUACAGUUGCACCUCAGUCUGGGUACCUUCACUUUAACAACCAGCAGAAGGUAAGACUUCCCCAAUUCUACAUCUGCCGCAAUUCUACCUGCAGUGCCUCCCCUUCCAUCAAAAAUAUGGUUUCAUACACAAAAGCACCGUAAGCUACUCGGUAGACACUGCAUUCCUUUCCACUCCAUCCCUCGGAAUGCAGAAGCCGGGGUCUGCAGCUACCUGGGGCCCAGUGGAAUGGAAUGUACCAUUCACCUUGCAGCUUAAAGGGGCUUGUGUGUAUGGUACCAUAUUUCCUUUGUGUUUCCCUCACCCUGCUUCCCUUGAUUAUGGGAAGCAGGGUGAGGGCAUUGAUCCUGGGAGCAAA